rnacentral:rRNA from 1 species
AGGAUCAUUAAUGAAACGCUCAGGGAUGUUGCUGGCCCCUUUCUGCGAAGGUGGGGGGCAUGUGCACUCCUUGAACAUUCUGACCCCCCYYCCCUGUNGACCUUUUGUAGGCUUCAGAGAGGACCACCCUUUGGGGCCUAUGUCAAUUACCUUACAAACUCUAGUUGAUCGAAUGUCGUGUAACAAGUAAAUCUGGAGCUUUCUAGGUUUAAAAGUAACCCAAUACAACUUUUAACAAUGGAUCUCUUGGCUCUCGCAUCGAUGAAGAACGCAGCGAAAUGCGAUACGUAAUGUGAAUUGCAGAAUUCCGUGAAUCAUCGAAUCUUUGAACGCACUUGCGCCCCUUGGUAUUCCGAGGGGCAUGCCUGUUUGAGUGUCAUUGAAUUCUCAACUGGCCCGAGUUUGCUCUCGGAGCUACAGCUUGGAAUUGGAGUGUGCUGGUUCCCUUGUGGGGUCGGCUCCUCUGAAAUGCAUUAGCGACGAAAUUCUUUCCNGAGGGUUGGCCCUCGAAUGCGCUGUGGCAUUGAUAACAAUUGUCUAUGUCUCACUGCCGGGGGGAGGAUGACCCAAGGGUGUUCUCGCUUACAAUGGUCCUCGUCGUGGGGGACAAAGGCUCAUCUUGACAAUUACCUCAAAUCAGGUAGGACUACCCGCUGAACUUAA